rnacentral:misc_RNA from 1 species
GAAAAAGAACAGGUUUUUGAUUUCUAAAGACAAACAAAAGAGAAGCGAAAAUGAUGCCUCAGAGCUCCAUCAAAUCCAGCGAGGCACAGCUCUUGCAGACCUUGAAUGGCCUUCAACAUCUUGCCGAGACUCAUCGUUUCAAGGCAUGGUUGUUGGAUCAAUUUGGAGUGCUUCAUGAUGGGAAGCAGCCUUAUCCGGGUGCAAUUUCAACGUUGAGUGAUAGAGGAACUGCUUUCUAUUCUCUGUUUGGGUGACAGUAAAAAAGCUUGCAAGUACUGGUGCCAGAAUGGUGAUUAUAAGCAAUUCUUCACGACGUGCAUCGACCACAAUGGAAAAAAUGAAGAGUCUAGGAUUUGAUCCCUCUCUUUUUGUGGGAGCCAUCACCAGUGGGGAGUUAACACAUCAAUACUUGCAGAGGUUAGCAUCCAUUGUUAUCCAUAUCAAUCACUUAUCAUAUGAGCAUCUAUAAUGGAUAACCUUUUAUGGGUUAUUCUAUUAGAUGAAACAACUCUAGUUAGAAUGUGCCUAUUUAAUUCUACUGGGGUUGAAUGACAUAUUGCAUUCUUUUGCAGGAAAAAAAAGUUAGUUGCAGACUUGCAGUAUAUGCUUCAUUGCUUUGGUUUAAUGAUGUGUAUACUUAGGCUUUUCUAGAUCUCUACAGUACAUUGAAGUUUUGUAGUAAUGGGUGAAUCAGGUUAAUCAUUAGAUAAUCAGUGUGCUUAUUUAUUUGUUUAUUUAUUUGUUAUUAUUAUUA